AUGGAGCCUAGUAGAACUCAGCCACAGGGCUAGGAGGGGCUUUCAGUUUUCAGAAUGUGGCGUCCAGAUGAGCCACAUACUUGAGAAGUCACAAAGGUCUUCAAACCUAAGAAGAGAGUGGGGGUGGAGGUGGUUAUGACUCAGCAGGGUGCCUGGAAUGCCCUGGGUUCUUGCCACUCAGGAGCUAGGGACACAGAGCCAGACAGCUGUGGUACAGAGAAAGAAGGGAGAGAGUUCUGUACAGGAGCAGAUCACAGUGUGAAGCAUUUGGUGUGACCUCCAAGAGCUGCGGUUCUGUUCUUGUGGUCUCGGAAGUGGUCCUCGGAGCCUAGCAUUAUGGACAGGGUUUCUCUGUUUAACAGCCGUGGUUGUCCUGGAACUCACACUUUAUAGACCAGCCUGAUCUUGAACACUCAGAGACCCACCAGCAUCUGAUUCCUGAUGGGAUUAAAGGCCAGUCAACACCCUUCAGCCUGACUG